GCCGGCUCUAGACCCGAAGCGAAGUGAUCUAUCCAUGGGCAGUGUGAAGCGCGGGUAAGACCGUGUGGAGGCGCGAACCCACUUCAGUUGAAAAUGGAGGGGAUGACCUGUGGAUAGGGGUGAAAGGCCAAUCAAACUUCGUGAUAGCUGGUUCUCCCCGAAAUGCAUUUAGGUGCAGCGUUGCGUGUUUCGUGCUGGAGGUAGAGCACUGGAUAGGCGAUGGGCCCCACCGGGUUACUGACCUUAGCCAAACUCCGAAUGCCGGUACGUGAGAGCGUAGCAGUGAGACUGUGGGGGAUAAGCUUCAUGGUCGAGAGGGAAACAGCCCAGAACAUCAGCUAAGGCCCCUAAGCGUGUGCUAAGUGGGAAAGGAUGUGGAGUUGCUGAGACAACCAGGAGGUUGGCUUAGAAGCAGCCACCCUUGAAAGAGUGCGUAAUAGCUCACUGGUCAAGUGAUUCUGCGCCGAUAAUGUAGCGGGGCUCAAGUACACCGCCGAAGCUGUGUCACUCCAUUUUGUGUGGGGUGGGUAGGGGAGCGUCGUGUGGCCGGUGAAGCUGCGGGGGAACCCAGUGGUGGAGGCUAUGCGAGUGAGAAUGC
rnacentral:ncRNA from 1 species